GACGAACGCUGGCGGCGUGCUUAACACAUGCCAGUCGAACGGAAAGGCCCUGCGUUUGUGGGGUGCUCGAGUGGCGAACGGGUGAGUAACACGUGAGUAACCUGCCCUUGACUUUGGGAUAACUUCAGGAAACUGGGGCUAAUACCGGAUAGGAGCUCCUGCUGCAUGGUGGGGGUUGGAAAGUUUCGGCGGUUGGGGAUGGACUCGCGGCUUAUCAGCUUGUUGGUGGGGUAGUGGCUUACCAAGGCUUUGACGGGUAGCCGGCCUGAGAGGGUGACCGGCCACAUUGGGACUGAGAUACGGCCCAGACUCCUACGGGAGGCAGCAGUGGGGAAUAUUGCACAAUGGGCGGAAGCCUGAUGCAGCAACGCCGCGUGCGGGAUGACGGCCUUCGGGUUGUAAACCGCUUUCGCCUGUGACGAGGCGUGAGUGACGGUAAUGGGUAAAGAAGCACCGGCUAACUACGUG
rnacentral:rRNA from 1 species